rnacentral:lncRNA from 1 species
AAAGCCUUUCAUUUUCCUUUUUGUCUGUGUUUUUAGGAAGGCGGAGGGAGAAUGGCUUUGUGUGGCAGAGGCAGGUGGUCCAGCACAGCUACAUGUCUGUGCCAGAGGCAUGAGUGCAAUCUGGUUCCUAUAUGCAGCACAAGAGCACCAAGGUCCGGAUGCUGGACAGGACUUGCAAGGCCAUGGCAAAUCCUGUUGGCUUUGCUGCUUGACUGAUGUAUCUCCAUCUUGCAAUCACCUGAAGCUGAGAGCCCAUCUUCUCUGCUUGGUUUUACCUUCAGCAGAAUGGCAGGGUCUCUCAAUGCAAUAUCUCAUCUUUCUAGUAGCUUUAAACUUAAUUUAGUGUAUGGUACCAUCUGAGAUUUUCUUUCUUUAUUAUUUUAUUUUAUUUUAUUUUAUUUUAUUUUAUUUUAUUUUAUUUUAUUUUAUUUUAUUUUAUUUUGCCACAGUAGAGGGCUUGUGUAUUAGUUGCUUUAAGAUAUUUCCCUUUUUCUCCAUAUAUCUUGCUUUUAACUUCUUAUAAAUUCCUGGUCUUAGUCAAUGCUCCUCAGGCUCACAAACUUAUUGAAAGACAUAGUAAAAAAGAUUAUCAAGUCUGGAAAGAAAAAAACAUAAACUAUUCAAGAGGUUUAAACAUAAAAGAAUUUUUAACCUUUUGUUCUGUUGAAUUUUUGAUAACAGUAUCAUUUUCAUCAACAUUCCCAGAAGUAAGAACACAAAAAUCUACCAAAACUCACUGAGAUCUCUUCUAGUAUGUGCAGACGUUUGGGUUGUCAGACUGACAGUUGGUGCCUGCAGAACCUUAAUGCACCCAUGUGCUGGCAGCCUGCAGGUGGGCAGCUUGUGUGUGGCUUGGUUCCUUCCCCCCUGCUUCAUCACAUCUCCUGCUGAAAUGCACUUCUUGAAAGGGAAUAUAAGGGCCCCACUGACGCACAGGCAUCUCAGUGCCCUUGGAAAUCUGGCCAUGUAUCUUUCCUGCGAGUUCCUAACUGCGAGAUUCCUACCUCAUGGAUAUUUAAGUCUCAGAGAUUUUCUAAGUCUCGUCAAAUUUCUCCACGCUUCUUCUUCCUUCUCAUUUUGGUAUUUUUCUGCUCCAUGCUACCUGCCUACACGUGCUGGAAGAAAGGAGUUUUGCAGUGUGUGUAAGAAGAAUCAUAGAACCAUAGAAUAUCUCAAGUUGGAAGGGACUCGUAAGGAUCAUUGAGUCCAACUCCUGGCUCCACGCAGGACCACCCAAAAAUCAGACUCUAUCUCUGAGAGCAGUGUCCAAAUGCUCAGGGCCCUGCUCACUGCCCUGGGCAGCCCGUUUCAUGCCACUGUCCUCUGGUACAGAACCUGCCCCUAAUCCCCAGCAUCCCCUCCCUUGAUGCAGCUUCAUGACAUUCCCUCAGGCCCUGUUGCUGCCACAGAGAGCAGAACUCAGUGCUGCCCUUCUGUUCCCUGUGAGGAGCUGCAGCUGCCAUGGUGCUGCAGCUCCUCACCGAUUGAGUGUACUCUCAGCAACUUUGUGGAUGACAUCCAGCUGUGUGGUGCUGCUGAUGUGUGAGGGGUGGGAUGUCAUCCAGAGUGAGACCUAGACAGGCUUGAGCAGUGGGCCCAGGAG